rnacentral:rRNA from 1 species
UAGGGAAUCUUCCGCAAUGGACGCAAGUCUGACGGAGCAACGCCGCGUGAGUGAAGAAGGAUUUCGGUUCGUAAAACUCUGUUGUUAGAGAAGAACAGCGCAUAGAGUAACUGUUAUGCGUGUGACGGUAUCUAACCAGAAAGCCACGGCUAACUACGUGCCAGCAGCCGCGGUAAUACGUAGGUGGCAAGCGUUGUCCGGAUUUAUUGGGCGUAAAGCGAGCGCAGGCGGUCAAUUAAGUCUGAUGUGAAAGCCCCCGGCUCAACCGGGGAGGGUCUUUGGAAACUGGUUGACUUGAGUGCAGAAGAGGAGAGUGGAAUUCCAUGUGUAGCGGUGAAAUGCGUAGAUAUAUGGAGGAACACCAGUGGCGAAGGCGACUCUCUGGUCUGUAACUGACGCUGAGGCUCGAAAGCGUGGGUAGCAAACAGG